rnacentral:rRNA from 1 species
CGCGAGAGGAGCGGCAGACGGGUGAGUAACGCGUGGGAAUCUACCGUACCCUACGGAAUAGCUCUGGGAAACUGGAAGUAAUACCGUAUACGCCCCCCUUUAAAAUGUCAGAAUCAUAAAAUGCCUCUGGCAUUUUAUGGGGGGGAAAGAUUUAUCGGGGUAUGAUGAGCCCGCGUUGGAUUAGCUAGUUGGUGGGGUAAAGGCCUACCAAGGCGACGAUCCAUAGCUGGUCUGAGAGGAUGAUCAGCCACAUUGGGACUGAGACACGGCCCAAACUCCUACGGGAGGCAGCAGUGGGGAAUAUUGGACAAUGGGCGCAAGCCUGAUCCAGCCAUGCCGCGUGAGUGAUGAAGGUCUUAGGAUUGUAAAGCUCUUUCACCGAUGAAGAUAAUGACGGUAGUCGGAGAAGAAGCCCCGGCUAACUUCGUGCCAGCCGCCGCCGUAA